rnacentral:rRNA from 1 species
GAUGAACGCUGGCGGCGUGCCUAAUACAUGCAAGUCGAGCGAACGGACGAGAAGCUUGCUUCUCUGAUGUUAGCGGCGGACGGGCGAGUAACACGUGGAUAACCUACCUAUUUGACUGGGAUAACUUCGGGAAACAGCUGAUACUACCGGAUAAUAUUUUCAACGGCAUGGUUCAAAAGUGAAAGACGGUUUUGCUGUCUCUUAGAGAUGGAUCCGCGCUGCAUUAGCUAGUUGGUAAGGUAACGGCUUACCAAGGCAACGAUGCAUAGCCGACCUGAGAGGAUGAUCGGCCACACUGGAACUGAGACACGGUCCAGACUCCUACGGGAGGCAGCAGUAGGGAAUAUUCCACAAUAGGCGAAAGCCUGACGGAGCAACACCGCGUGAGUGAAGAAGGUCUUCGGAUUGUAAAGCUCUUUUAUUAGGAAAGAACAGAAGUGGAAUAAAAUGUGCACAUCUUGACGGUACCUAAACAGAAAGCCACGGCUAACUACGUG